UAGAGAACUUCCUUGGGUCUAAGCCUAUUUUCAAAAGCUCGUUUAUCAGAGUUCCUGAAGUCGGGCCUCCCUUGCCACGACAGUGUAAUCUUCAGUUCUCCCUUCCUUUCUCCCUUAGGUUGAAAACAGCUUUUCUAUUUCUGUCCCCAUCUGCAAAGAGUUCCACAAGAACAUCAUAGGGAAAGGAGGUGCCAACAUCAAGAAGAUCCGUAAAGAAAGCAACACCAAAAUUGAUCUCCCAGCAAAGAACAGCAGCUCGGAGACAAUUGUUAUCACAGGCAAGAGGGCAAACUGUGAGGCUGCUCGCCACAGGAUUCUUGCCAUCCAGAAGGAGCUGGCCAACAGCACAGAGGUGGAGGUCUCUAUACCUUCCAAAAUGCACAGUUCCCUCAUUGGUGCCAAAGUCCGCUUCGUCCGCUCCAUUGUGGAGGACUGUGGUGGAGUCCACAUCCACUUCCCCACCUAGGGCUCUGGCAGUGACACCGUGACCAUCAGGGGCCCAGCCCAGGGUGUGUAGAAAGCCAAGAAACAGCUGCUGCACCUGUGAAACAGCACAAGGUCUUAAUAAAUAAAUAAAUAAAUGGCAAUGCUCUGUUUGUGUUGAGAAAGGCAUCUAGUCUGACUAACUAGAAAAGAAAAGGUGGGCACCUGAAGGAGGGAAGGAGGCCAUCAAGUCAGGAAAUCGUUGAAGAAAGAAAAUGGAAAGGUCUAUUCCACCUAGAUCCCCCUAGAUCUAUUAUGAAUAGAAUGACCGGGUGUCCAAAUCUGUGUAUUAUUGCAAAUGUGCUGUGUCAAUUUUCUCACCCCAGAGAGCAGGGAGCAGCACUUUUGUGCUGUGCCUGACAUGGCUGCCAGGGCAGGGUGAGAAGCAGCAAGAGAAUUCCUUCCUGGAACCCUCUCCAGGGGAACAGUGCUGCGCUUUCCCAAGCCAUGUUUUUUGGUUCUGUAUGGGUGUAAAUGUGCUGUGCCAAUUUUUCACCACAGAAAGCAGGGAGCAGAACUUUUAU